AGAUUGAACGCUGGCGGCAGGCCUAACACAUGCAAGUCGAGCGGUAGAGAGGUGCUUGCACCUCUUGAGAGCGGCGGACGGGUGAGUAAUGCCUAGGAAUCUGCCUAGUGGUGGGGGAUAACGUUCGGAAACGGACGCUAAUACCGCAUACGUCCUACGGGAGAAAGCGGGGGACCUUCGGGCCUCGCGCCAUUAGAUGAGCCUAGGUCGGAUUAGCUAGUUGGUGAGGUAAUGGCUCACCAAGGCGACGAUCCGUAACUGGUCUGAGAGGAUGAUCAGUCACACUGGAACUGAGACACGGUCCAGACUCCUACGGGAGCAGCAGUGGGAAUAUUGGACAAUGGGACGAAAGCCUAGAUCCAGCCAU
rnacentral:rRNA from 1 species